AGCGAAAGCGUUAAGUAUCCCACCUGGGGAGUACGCCGGCAACGGUGAAACUCAAAGGAAUUGACGGGGGCCCGCACAAGCGGAGGAACAUGUGGUUUAAUUCGAUGAUACGCGAGGAACCUUACCCGGGCUUGAAUUGCGACUGACUGCAUCAGAGAUGAUGUUUCCAGCAAUGGCAGUCGUGAAGGUGCUGCAUGGUUGUCGUCAGCUCGUGCCGUGAGGUGUCGGCUUAGGUGCCAUAACGAGCGCAACCCUUUUCCCUGUUUGCCAUCGGGUAAUGCCGGGCACUCCAGGGAUACUGCCAUCGUAAGAUGUGAGGAAGGUGGGGAUGACGUCAAAUCAGCACGGCCCUUACGUCCGGGGCUACACACGUGUUACAAUGGGCGGCACAGAGGGCAGCGACCGCGCGAGCGGCAGCCAAUCCCGAAAUCCGCUCUCAGUUCGGACUGGAGUCUGCAACCCGACUCCACGAAGCUGGAUUCGCUAGUAAUCGCGCAUCAGCCAUGGCGCGGUGAAUACGUUCCCGGGCCUUGUACACACCGCCCGUC
rnacentral:rRNA from 1 species